UGUAUUUUCUAGCUUACAAGAGCUCAAACAGCCGAGCUUUCCUUUCCAAUUGCAAUAAUAUUAUACUCCCCCCUUUCUAGAUUUACAGUUGUUGUUGCGGGCCAGCAGCAGUUAUUGUCGUAACUGAUAGUCGCGAUCACUCCGGACACUGAAGUACAAGGCGGCAGAAGCUCACCCAGACGGAUCGAAGACUGACUGCCACGGACAGUUGGUCAACUGGCGGAUUGGGCUAUAGCUAAUGCGAUCAAAGGCCUCAAAUUUGCAAGAUGAAGAUCAGAACCAGUCAGGGCUGGACGAAAGCGGAGCUGGAAGAAACCAAUGCUCAUCCUUACCAUCGUGAGUCACGUGCUGUCCGACAACCUCAGCAGUCAGAAAGAGAUGCUGAAACUGGCCAUCUACGGUUAGAAGACGUCACCAAUAGUAACGAGCAUACUCCUGCGCAUGCGGCGGACUCCAUGGACGGAUCUAGUAACGAGGAAGAGAAUGCACCUGAUGAACGUCACGAGUUAGUGAAUGAAAGCUCCUACAAUCUCGACAGUGUCAUCUACGAUGUGUGGUCCGAGUCAUUGCUACCUUACCUUGAUGUCAGGUCAAUUUUUCGCCUUUGCGGAGUGUCCCGGAAGCUACGAAAACUGUUGCUGACGGAGCAGACAUUCAAGGC